UCUAAUAGACACACUAUACUAAACCUAAGCAGUACAAUGAAUUUUAUUAUCAUUAAAACUUAAGAAUUGUGGCGGCAACUUAAACACUCAGGGGAACUUACCAUAUAAUUGAUAACCAACAAGGAGUCCUCACCUGUUCUUUAUAAUUAGUAUACCGCCGUCUUUAGCUUUCUUAAAGAAAGUUAACAAAUAAUUACCUUUAAUAUGACAGGUCAUGGUGCUGUAAAUGUUCAGGUAUUUAAGGUGAGUUACAAUACCUAAGAAUUAGUUCGAACUAUAAUACAAAAGUAUUUAUAUGAAGGAGGACUUGAUUGUAAAAAGCAUAUAAUUUAUACCCUCAAUGUUUAUUGUAUUAUUUUAAAAAUAGCGCUUGAAUAGAAAUUAGGUUGUGC
rnacentral:rRNA from 1 species